rnacentral:rRNA from 1 species
UACGUAGGGUGCAAGCGUUGUCCGGAAUUAUUGGGCGUAAAGAGCUCGUAGGCGGUCUGUCGCGUCGGAUGUGAAAAUCCAGGGCUCAACCCUGGACCUGCAUUCGAUAUGGGCAGACUAGAGUUCGGCAGGGGAGACUGGAAUUCCUGGUGUAGCGGUGAAAUGCGCAGAUAUCAGGAGGAACACCGGUGGCGAAGGCGGGUCUCUGGGCCGAUACUGACGCUGAGGAGCGAAAGCGUGGGGAGCGAACAGG